UGGUAAUUAACUCAAUUGGUAGAGUGCUUCCUUUACACGGAAUAAGUUAUUGGUUCAAAUCCAAUAUUGCCAA
rfam:Chrysochromulina sp. CCMP291 CAF.Contig9355, whole genome shotgun sequence.